rnacentral:rRNA from 1 species
AGAUUGAACGCUGGCGGCAGGCCUAACACAUGCAAGUCGAGCGGUAGAGAGGUGCUUGCAUCUCUUGAGAGCGGCGGACGGGUGAGUAAUGCCUAGGAAUCUGCCUAGUGGUGGGGGAUAACGUUCGGAAACGGACGCUAAUACCGCAUACGUCCUACGGGAGAAAGCGGGGGACCUUCGGGCCUCGCGCCAUUAGAUGAGCCUAGGUCGGAUUAGCUAGUUGGUGAGGUAAUGGCUCACCAAGGCGACGAUCCGUAACUGGUCUGAGAGGAUGAUCAGUCACACUGGAACUGAGACGACGGUCCAGACCUACCGUACGGGAGCAGCAGGUAGGGAAUAGUUAGGACAAGUGGGACGAAAGCCGUAGACUCCAGCCAGUCGGCCGCGUGUGGUAGAAGUAAGGUUCGUUACGGAUUACGUAAAG